ACCCUUAGAUGUUCUGGGCCGCACGCGCGCUACAAUGAAACGUUCAACAAGUUUUCUGUGGCCAGAGAUGGCUCCGGAUCUGCUUCGUCGAAAGGCGUGGCGAAUCUUUUAAACGCGUUUCGUGCUGGGGCUUGACAUUUGCAAUUAUUUGUCAUAAACGAGGAAUUCCUAGUAAACGCGACUCAUCAGGUCGCAUUGAUUACGUCCCUGCCCUUUGUACACACCGCCCGUCGCACCUACCGAUUGAACGGACUGAUAAAAUCUUAGGACUGGUUGGCUUUGCGUGUGAGCGCGGGCCGCCCGGGAAUUUGAGUGAAUCACUUCGUUUAGAGGAAGGUGAAGUCGUAACA
rnacentral:rRNA from 1 species